GAUAAACGCUGGCGGCGCACAUAAGACAUGCAAGUCGAACGGACUUAACUCAUUCUUUUAGAUUGAGAGCGGUUAGUGGCGGACUGGUGAGUAACACGUAAGCAACCUGCCUAUUAGAGGGAAUAACAGUGAGAAAUCAUUGCUAAUACCGCAUGUGUUCACAGUAUCACAUGAUACAGUGAGGAAAGGAGUAAUCCACUGAUAGAUGGGCUUGCGUCUGAUUAGCUAGUUGGUGGGGCAACGGCCUACCAAGGCGACGAUCAGUAGCCGGACUGAGAGGUUGAACGGCCACAUUGGGACUGAGAUACGGCCAG
rnacentral:rRNA from 1 species